rnacentral:rRNA from 1 species
AGAGUUUGAUCAUGGCUCAGGACGAACGCUGGCGGCAUGCCUCAUACAUGCAAGUCGAACGAGCUUCCGUUGAAUGACGUGCUUGCACUGAUUUCAACAAUGAAGCGAGUGGCGAACUGGUGAGUAACACGUGGGGAAUCUGCCCAGAAGCAGGGGAUAACGCUUGGAAACAGGUGCUAAUACCGUAUAACAACAAAAUCCGCAUGGAUUUUGUUUGAAAGGUGGCUUCGGCUAUCACUUCUGGAUGAUCCCGCGGCGUAUUAGUUAGUUGGUGAGGUAAAGGCCCACCAAGACGAUGAUACGUAGCCGACCUGAGAGGGUAAUCGGCCACAUUGGGACUGAGACACGGCCCAAACUCCUACGGGAGGCAGCAGUAGGGAAUCUUCCACAAUGGACGAAAGUCUGAUGGAGCAAUGCCGCGUGAGUGAAGAAGGGUUUCGGCUCGUAAAACUCUGUUGUUAAAGAAGAACACCUUUGAGAGUAACUGUUCAAGGGUUGACGGUAUUUAACCAGAAAGCCACGGCUAACUACGUGCCAGCAGCCGCGGUAAUACGUAGGUGGCAAGCGUUGUCCGGAUUUAUUGGGCGUAAAGCGAGCGCAGGCGGUUUUUUAAGUCUGAUGUGAAAGCCUUCGGCUUAACCGGAGAAGUGCAUCGGAAACUGGGAGACUUGAGUGCAGAAGAGGACAGUGGAACUCCAUGUGUAGCGGUGGAAUGCGUAGAUAUAUGGAAGAACACCAGUGGCGAAGGCGGCUGUCUAGUCUGUAACUGACGCUGAGGCUCGAAAGCAUGGGUAGCGAACAGGAUUAGAUACCCUGGUAGUCCAUGCCGUAAACGAUGAGUGCUAAGUGUUGGAGGGUUUCCGCCCUUCAGUGCUGCAGCUAACGCAUUAAGCACUCCGCCUGGGGAGUA